GACGAACGCUGGCGGCGUGCUUAACACAUGCAAGUCGAACGGAAAGGCCCUGCUUUUGUGGGGUGCUCGAGUGGCGAACGGGUGAGUAACACGUGAGUAACCUGCCCUUGACUUUGGGAUAACUUCAGGAAACUGGGGCUAAUGCCGGAUAGGAGCUCCUGCUGCAUGGUGGGGGUUGGAAAGUUUCGGCGGUUGGGGAUGGACUCGCGGCUUAUCAGCUUGUUGGUGGGGUAGUGGCUUACCAAGGCUUUGACGGGUAGCCGGCCUGAGAGGGUGACCGGCCACAUUGGGACUGAGAUACGGCCCAGACUCCUACGGGAGGCAGCAGUGGGGAAUAUUGCACAAUGGGCGGAAGCCUGAUGCAGCAACGCCGCGUGCGGGAUGACGGCCUUCGGGUUGUAAACCGUUUUCGCCUGUGACGAAGCGUGAGUGAAGGUAAUGGGUAAAGAAGCACCGGCUAACUACGUG
rnacentral:rRNA from 1 species